GUGCUUGCUUUGGCAGCACAUAUAUUAAAACUGGAACGAUACAGAAAAGAUUAGCAUGGCCCCUACGCAAGGAUGACAUGCAAGUUCAUGAAGUGUUCCAUAUUUUU
rnacentral:snRNA from 1 species